ACGCUCGACACCUACUGGAGGCAGCAGUGAGGAAUAUUGGUCAAUGGACGCAAGUCUGAACCAGCCAUGCCGCGUGCAGGAUGACGGCUCUAUGAGUUGUAAACUGCUUUUGUACGAGGGUAAACGCAGAUACGUGUAUCUGUCUGAACGUAUCGUACGAAUAAGGAUCGGCUAACUCCGUGCUAGCAGCCGCGGUAAUCUGAGCGGGCUGGCAAGGC
rnacentral:rRNA from 1 species